UACGUAGGCAGCAAGCGUUGUUCGGAAUUACUGGGCGUAAAGAGUGUGUAGGCGGUGCUCUAAGUCUGUUGUGAAAUCUCCCGGCUUAACUGGGAGGGUGCGGCGGAAACUGGAGUGCUAGAGGAUGGGAGAGGUAAGCGGAAUUCCUGGUGUAGCGGUGAAAUGCGUAGAUAUCAGGAGGAACACCUGUGGUGUAGACAGCUUACUGGACCAUUUCUGACGCUGAGACACGAAAGCGUGGGUAGCAAACGGG
rnacentral:rRNA from 1 species